rnacentral:rRNA from 1 species
AGAGUUUGAUCAUGGCUCAGAACGAACGCUGGCGGCGUGGAUAAGACAUGCAAGUCGAGCGCUUAUUUUCCGGUAGCAAUAUUGGGAAGUAGGAGCGGCGCAAGGGUGCGUAACACGUGGAUCAUCUGCCUGGAAGUUCGGAAUAAUUCCGCGAAAGCGGGACUAAUGCCGGAUGUGGUUGUAAAACUAAAGCUGGGGACCGCAAGGCCUGGCGCUUCCAGAUGAGUCCGCGGCCUAUCAGCUAGUUGGCGGGGUAACGGCCCACCAAGGCUAAGACGAGUAGCUGGUCUGAGAGGACGACCAGCCACACUGGAACUGAGACACGGUCCAGACACCUACGGGUGGCAGCAGUCGAGAAUUUUUCUCAAUGGGCGCAAGCCUGAAGGAGCGACGCCGCGUGGGGGAUGAAGGGCUUCGGUCCGUAAACCCCUGUCAUUUGCGAACAAACCUUAUGAAUGAACAAUUCAUGAGCUGAUUGUAGCGAAAGAGGAAGGGACGGCUAACUCUGUGCCAGCAGCCGCGGUAAUACAGAGGUCCCAAGCGUUGUUCGGAUUCACUGGGCGUAAAGGGUGCGCAGGUGGUUUGGCAAGUUUGACGUGAAAGCCCCGGGCUUAACCCGGGAAUGGCGUUGAAAAUUGCUUGAACUGGAGGGUCGGAGGGGGGACUGGAAUUCUUGGUGUAGCAGUGAAAUGCGUAGAUAUCAAGAGGAACACCAGUGGCGAAGGCGAGUCCCUGGACGAUACCUGACACUGAGGCACGAAAGCCAAGGGAGCAAACAGGAUUAGAUACCCUAGUAGUCC